GGGGGUUUAGUAUAAUGGCAAUAUAGUGGUCUCCAAAACCAAUGAUAAGGGUUCGAUUCCUUUAACCCCCGCCA
rnacentral:tRNA from 2 species